GCCCGCACAAGCGGUGGAGCAUGUGGUUUAAUUCGACGCAACGCGAAGAACCUUACCAGGUCUCGACAUCCUGCGAACUUUCUAGAGAUAGAUUGGUGCCUUCGGGAACGCAGUGACAGGUGCUGCAUGGCUGUCGUCAGCUCGUGUCGUGAGAUGUUGGGUUAAGUCCCGUAACGAGCGCAACCCUUGUCCUUAGUUGCCAGCACAUUAUGGUGGGAACUCUAAGGAGACUGCCGGUGACAAACCGGAGGAAGGUGGGGACGACGUCAAGUCAUCAUGGCCCUUACGACCUGGGCUACACACGUGCUACAAUGGCCAGUACAGAGGGCUGCUAACCCGUGAGGGGGCGCUAAUCUCACAAAGCUGGUCGUAGUCCGGAUCGCAGUCUGCAACUCGACUGCGUGAAGUUGGAAUCGCUAGUAAUCGCGAAUCAGAAUGUCGCGGUGAAUACGUUCCCGGGCCUUGUACACACCGCCCGUCACACCAUGGGAGUGGGUUGCAAAAGAAGUAGCUAGGCUAACCUUCGGGGAGCCGGUUACCACUUUGUGAUUCAUGACUGGGGUGAAGUCGUAACAAGGUAGCC
rnacentral:rRNA from 1 species